AGACAGAACUUCCAGCUUCUGCUGAUGGUGUAGGCAUCUGGAAAAUGUGUCUUUAUUAAAAUUACAUUUAAAAACGAGUGAUAUUCAGGGUCAUGACUUUCUGAACCCAUCAGAGAGCUGAAUUGCAGGGCAAUUAAAUAGUUUAAAAUGAAGGAAAGAGAGGUGCCUCCUACAAUAACAGAGAUGGGCUGCAAACAUUGGAUGACCUGUGGCAGAGCACGGAAAGAAGGCAAGGAUGACAGCUACAUGCAGACAAGGUCUCCAGAUUUGCCACCCAUGCUGAGUGCCGUGGUGUGAUCAUGGCUUAUUUCAACCUCAACCUCCCCCACUCAAGCGAUCCUCCUGCCUCAGCCUCUGGAGUAGCUGGGACUACAGGCACGCACCACCACACCCAGCCAUAAUUUGCCUCUUGCUGUAACUAAAAGGUCACAAAAACAAAGAAUUCUAAAAAAUCUUCUUCUUAAGUGGUAUGUUUAGUAUUUAUCAUGAUGACAAUGUUCUAAAUUGCACCUGCCUCCACUAGCAGAAUGCCAGGAUUACUGCCAGACAGAGAAUUCGGACUGCUGGUCCAGGGACAUAGCUAUGAAAUGCACCAAGGACAGCAGAGUGUGUUUUGGAGAAAGCCAGGUAGCUCUUGAUAGGGCCUAUAUGAGUACUUAUUCCUGCUGAUAGGAAAAAAAUGAUUAGAAAAAUCUCAUUUCUUUAUUCAUUUCUACUCUGAGAGCUUUUUACUUCUAGAAACACGGUCUUAGUUUUCUGUGUUAUUAUGUUUUUUUUUUGAAACUGACAAAAUUUCACAAUUAAUUUAUGUUCAUUCAAAUGUUUAAUAAUUAUACCUUGAAUUUGUCUUAUAAUUAGUAUUUUCUUGUUAUUUCCAACAAGAGAAAGUGUGCAGGAAAAGGGACUAGAUCAGGUUGAGAGAGCCAGGGGUGUUCAGUCAAGCAGGCAGAACUCAGGACACUGAACGGGGUGAGUAUGAGGCAGCCAGAGUCCCCAGACCCGCAGAGGAGGGUCCAAAGGACAGCUUUUCAUGAUCCAGGAAGGAAAUCUCCUUCAAUAACGUCUCUCCUUCAAGAAGCUGGGGGUGUCGCUGGGAUUUAACGUAGAGAUUCCAGUCUUAGAUUGAGGGAAGGAAGGGAGGCAAAAGGAAGGAAGCCUCGCAUCCUCAUGCGAAGAAGCCAGCUUGUAGAAAUGAAGCUCAAAAUGAUCCCUACAGCACAAGCAGUCCAGGGCAUGUGGACUCCUGCUGGGUUGGGGCCAGGACAGGAGAAGAAAGUUUGAUACAGGCCUGAGGCUCGGGAGCCCUGCACUGGCUGUGCGUCUCUACAACCAUCCCAGAGUCGGCCCAGGUACCAGGUCUUCUGGCUCAGAUAAAGAUCACACAUGACUCGCCUGAAAACUUGAGGCAGAGGUGUGCCAUUGUCACAAAAGGCGCUGUCAGGGUGGAGGCUCAGGGAAUGAUAGAGGAGCUCUUGAAUCACCCUGGAGAAAUUUUACCUCGGUCAGACAGCUACAGAGCCGACUUAAUAUUUUUAUUUAAAAUCUAGAUUAUUUGGGGGCUGGUUUGGAAAUGGGGGAGAUCUGUGAGUCCAGGCAUGGUAGCAGGAAGAGAAGAGGCUUCCUUGUAACCCUACUGACUCUUCCUCUCACUUGUCCCAAAAGCACAGGGUGAGAGACAAGAACAUUGGUACAGUGCGUUCAGGAAACUUUUCAACUUUUUAUGUGUAGUGUACCAAAAUAUUUUUUCACACAUGCAAAGACAGUGGUCAGGGGCUAUUCUGGCUUGUUAGAAAAAAGGAUGUGACGUUUUCCAGUCCCUGGGUGGGUCUCAGUUCUCUUAGAGGCUCUGCCUCUCACUCACACCUCUGCUAGAGGAAUGCGAGGAAGCUCUGACAAGAUUGUGAUCUGGGGACACGUUUGCCACCUCAGCGCCAAGGCUGACGUGGGGACAUGGGCUACUCAGUGAACGCACUUUACCCAGGAUACCAAGGGCACUUAAUGAUACCGACAGUUCUGUUUACAUCCUUCUCCACUGCCUCCAGCAUCAUUCAAGGCGUAAUCUCUUGGAAAAGUUUGAUUAGAAUGAAUUCUAGUUUGGCGUAGGUUAUUAUGCACCUAAAUUGGCUAAACUUAGCUUCAUAUAUCAAACAUAAGAUAUACAUCUCUAGAGAUGCGUCUGUGGAGACCUCCAUAGGCACCAGUAUAUAUUAUUCUAAGUUUUACCUCUUUUCUUGUGGAUUACUAACUUUGUGGUUCUCCCUUGAUUAGGUUUAUAUGCAAUUUUCUUAGAAAAUGUCAACUCCAAUUCUGCAACAUACUGAGCCCCUUUAUUGGAAACUUCAAAGUUCCUAGUCCAAUCCUAAUUCUAGAUCUUACUUCAUAUGUUGCUUUUAUCUUCUCUUGGGUAAUGGGUCAUUUCAAGGGUGAUUUUUUUGACUUUAUCUUAUUGGGGAUAUAAGUGCAGAUAAAGGAGAUACAGACGAGCAUUUAAUUUUUUUUUUCAGUGCAGUGAUUAUGGAGUCAGGGUAGUAUUUCUGCUGUGUAUGGUAAACUCCAUAGGAUCUCAUUUAUUCAUGGUUAAAGGCUUUCCUGGGGAAACCAGUAUGCUAACUUCAGGCAGAUAAUAAAACCUGAGGUAUAUGGAGAGUGUCUACUUUGACACAUUCAGGGCUAGCCCUCUCCUGCUGGUGCAGUUCAAUGUGAAUUUAGUCAUUUGUGGUCACUUAACAGCAAAGAGAUCUUUCUACAGAGUCUAGCUGUGCUGAUUAUCAAACUGGGGAAAAUUGAUGGCCAUUUGUUAUGGCUAAUAACACAGGUGCCGGUCAACUUUAUAAAAAUGUAGAAAAGUAUUUGCGGUGAAAAUUAUCCUAACCAUUGUGGAAAAAUGCCCAUCCCACUUCAAUUCAUAGCUGAAUACAUAUAGGAACUACAGUUCUCAGACCUGCAGUGAGUUCUGACCAAUGGAAUUCAGUGGGAUGAUAGAUGCUGCCUUUGAAGCCACCCCAUCAACUGGCUCAUCUCCUCCUGUCUCAGCUCUUUCUCCUGCUGCAUCCUGAUGCAGGACCACUGCACAACCUCACAAACCUUAUGUGGAAAGUAGUGGAGCCACCAGAUGUUAUGGGUAUCCUUUAAUGGAGAACUUUACACUACUUUGAAAUGACAGUUUUAUACUUUUCAUAAGAAAGAAAUAAACUUCCAUUGUACUAA